rnacentral:rRNA from 1 species
AAAUAGAUACCCAGGUAGUCCACGCCGUAAACGAUGAGUGCUAAGUGUUGGGGGGUUUCCGCCCCUCAGUGCUGCAGCUAACGCAUUAAGCACUCCGCCUGGGGAGUACGGUCGCAAGACUGAAACUCAAAGGAAUUGACGGGGGCCCGCACAAGCGGUGGAGCAUGUGGUUUAAUUCGAAGCAACGCGAAGAACCUUACCAGGUCUUGACAUCCCGGUGACCACUAUGGAGACAUAGUUUCCCCUUCGGGGGCAACGGUGACAGGUGGUGCAUGGUUGUCGUCAGCUCGUGUCGUGAGAUGUUGGGUUAAGUCCCGCAACGAGCGCAACCCUUAUUCUUAGUUGCCAUCAUUUAGUUGGGCACUCUAAGGAGACUGCCGGUGAUAAACCGGAGGAAGGUGGGGAUGACGUCAAAUCAUCAUGCCCCUUAUGACCUGGGCUACACACGUGCUACAAUGGACGGUACAAACGGUUGCCGACCCGCGAGGGGGAGCUAAUCCGAUAAAACCGUUCUCAGUUCGGAUUGUAGGCUGCAACUCGCCUACA